AGAGGCAGGAUUGGGUUCCUCCAGGCAGAUACGUCAGAAGGACAAUGUGCAGAGUGUAUUGGUGAGAGAUGGACUGAGGUAUUGACCAUGUGACCUGACUGGAUAAAGAAUUAAGUCAAGACAGCAAAAGGCUGAUAAUAUUCAGAGAAAACGCUAUCACUUUGCUCUGUGCCUGGUGCUGGAGACAUUGAAAUAAAAGAUACAAGUGCUGCCCACAGGAAACUCACAGACCAGUGCGGGGAGAAGGGGGCAGGCCUGUGAGCCCAUCUACAGAACAAAAUGCCCCCCGGUGAGGCUGCUCAGUGGGGCUCCCUGAUCCACAGAAGACCUGGGGGCUCCAGGAAGGAUGAGGGGACCAAGAAGGGACCUACAUUCUAACCAGGGCAGGCAGCAGAUGUGGCAGGAAGGGGAAGGGCUCUAAGUACCCCUGCUCCUGCACAGAAAUCCACUUGCCUGAGAAGUUGUGGACUAAGGAAAACUAAGGACUUUUCCAGACGAAAACUGGCUGAAGAGACCUGAGAACUUGAUGCAAAGCAUGAUCCCAGAUUGGACCUGGAUUGUGGGGAGACGUAGUUCACAAGGGACUGUUUGGGGCGAUUGGCAACGUGUGAAUAUGGACUAUGGAUUGGAAAACAGCAUUGGAUGAACGUCAGAUUUCCUGAUUUUGCUUGCUGUUCUGUGGCUACAUAAGAGAACAUUCUUGUUCUUAAAAAAUACACACUGACGUAUUUAGGAAGUAUUCAGGAACAUGAUGUCUGCAACUCACUUUUGAAUAGUCCAGGAAAAUACAUACGUAUAUUAAAUAUGACAGGGGAUGGAGAAUGAUAACACAAAAGGGGGAAAAUAUUAACAGUUGGUGAAUCUGGAUAAAGUGUUCCUUGAACAUGAGUUCUUUGAACUAUUCUUGAAACUUUCAUGUAAAUUGGAAAUUAUAUCAAUUUAAAGCUUAAAAAGAAACAAAGGCAAGCCCAGGGUUGGAUUCCGUGGAUCGCAAACUCAGGGUGAGAAUAAACCAAACUUUGUGAGGUAGCAACAGAACCAAUACUGGAUUUGUUUAUUUUUUAAAAGUCAUCAUCUAUGGAAGGUUGACUUAAUGUAUCCUCCAAAUAUUAAUAGUUACUGACAAUCACGUGUUUUUGUUUAUGCUAUCAUUUUAACAGAGUUUACGUUACAUAUUGAUUAUUGACCAAAGGCUUCCAGAAUGAGGAUCACCUGGGAGCAAUUUUCCCUGAGCGUCCUCGUUUGGUUAUGCAAACUUACAGCAGCAAGGAGAAUCUCAUUGCUUUUGGAGAGGGUGCAACAUACAUGUGCGCUGUGUGGCUUGAUGAAAGCUGGCCCUCCUGGGACUCCUUGCAACGGGUGGAGUGUAUUUCCCCUCCGUUGGCAUUUAGGCUAGCCCUGCCUGUGACUGCGGUGGAACCAAACGUGGUGGAACUUCUGAGCCUGGGUCUUAAGGUCUGGCAGCUUCUGCUUUCUUCCUCUUGGAACAUGCACUCUGUGUUGGUUGCUGACUCUUGAAAUCCACUGCCCUGCCAUGAGAAGCUCAGUCCAGCCACACAGGGAGGUGGUGUGGAGGAGAACUGACUCCUGGCAGAAGGCCAGCGCCCACUUGCUAGCUAUGUGACGGAGGUCAGUUUGGACCUUCCAGCCACCCCAGCACCCUGGCCAAUGCCACAGGAAGCAGAAGAACCCCUCGGUCAACCAUUGUGACUCACAGGCUCCUGUCCACCAUGCCCAGGCUGGGCUGCUCCUGGAACACCGUGCAGCCUGGAAGAGUGGGGGUCCCCACAGGCCCCCGGCCUCCGGGCUGGGUGGGCUUCUCAGAACCACCCAGCAGCACUUGUGAGUUUCACUAUUCUGUGCUGCAUGUAUUUCAAACCUUCCCACUCUAGAAUUCUCUGACUGUCCCCUCACCAGCAGCAGGUGACUGCAUCACUUAUUUCACCAAGAACAUAGAGGUCAUCAGGAUGAAACACUUCAAACUUCUUGCUGGAAAUCCUCCGACUUCACCUGCACUUUCUCCCUCCUAGUCUCAUUCUCAUCAGACACGUGGCAAAGGCGAAUCGCGGCCCACCCCUGAUCCCCUCCACAAAGACAUCGCUCCGUCAGCUUUGCCCCCCUCUUCCAUGUCUCCCCUCUGUAGCUCAAGCUGUUGGAUGAAAUCCUUCCCUCAGUCUCUCCGGCAGCUGCCGCAUCUCUGCCCUCCUCUUCACAGCUAAACUUAAAGCUGUCUAUUCCUCAACCCACUGGCGUCAGACAUCCGUCUUCCCCAUUCCUCUAAAGCUCAUCACCCCACAGCCACUUGUUAAACCCACUGGAGGUUCUCAAGGCCUCCCGCAUUCUCGCUGCUCAGCCGCACCAGACACCAUGACUGCCACUUGUUUCCUGAAAGGCUCUAUUUUCUGCCUUUCCAGAACACAACCCUCUCUUAGUUUUCCUCCUACCUCUCUGACGGUUCCUUUCACAGUCUUUCCUUCACCUGUUUCUAAAAGGUUGUUUUUUGCCUUGGCUUCUGGCCCUUUCCUCUUGUCUCUUGUCACACCUUCUUGGCACCAGGCCGGGUUGGAGUAAUAGGGAGAGGUGGGG
rnacentral:lncRNA from 1 species